CCUCCGACGCCAAACAGUGAACUGUGAUUCCGUGAAUAGAUAAAGACCGAUGCCGAACAGAGAAAGAAAGGCCGACACCGUCCGUCCGUUCGUUUGUCAUCAAUCUCUCAUGGUCAACGCCUCACCGUUUUUUCUCCUCACAGAGGCACAAAGUCAGUGAGUCACAGCACAGGUUCAGGUUAUAGACUGCCAUCUUGUUAUGUGUUCGGAUCAAGAUUCAAGAGUCACUAUCUCGACUUUGUCUGUUGGAACUUGUUAUAAAGUUGGUAUGCGUUUUAUUCAUAUUUUUCCCUUUCUUUUCUUCCAUUCUUCUUUUUUUAGCAAUAAAGAACAUUACUCAGGUUUAUUCACUAUUCAUUUAUUUAUUUUCUUUGAUUUGGUAGACGGUGAUACUGUCAAACUGUCAAUUGAAAAUGGACAGCCCAGUAAUGUUUAGGGCCUACAUGCGCCUAGGUUUGUUACCAUACCAUAGCCUAGUAAAAUUCAGCCUGGUUUGGCUA